UUUUCCGGAUGGGAAUAAGCCGUGAUGAGACUGAUUCGGAUCGCUAGUCGGAGCGGUGAAACAAACGAUCCUAAGAUUAAAGUAUUAAUACGUGUCUGUGAGGUGGAGUCUAUGCUGAGAACAACAAAAAAUUUCAAAAUUGAAAUCUUUUUACCAUCUCUCAGUUCAAUAUGGUACUCCAAAGCUGUCACGUCGUGACAACAUUUGCUUCAUAUAAAAGCUGUGCAAUCUGUACUUACGAAAUAGUAGUCCACAAACUAGUAGCUUGUAUGAACAAACAGCGUUGAGUUCUUGAAAUUGAACUUAGACAUCUGAUUAAAACUUGGGAAGAUCACGCAAGAAGCUCACG